GCCAGUGUAGCAUAGUGGUAAGGAGUAGGGCUUUUAACCAAAAGGUUGUGGGUUCAAUUCUCUACUGGGGCA